CCCUUAGAUGUUCUGGGAUGCACGCGCGUUACACUGAUUCGUUCAACGAGUUUAUGACCUUGCCUGAUGAGGUGGGGGAAUCUUUUCAAAUCGCAUCGUGAUGGGGAUAGAGUAUUGUAACUGUUAGUCUUCAACGAGGAAUUCCUAGUAAGUACGUGCCAUCAGCUCGUACUGAUUAUGUCCCUGCCCUUUGUACACACCGCCCGUCGCUCCUACCGAUUGAGUGCUCAGGUGAAUAGUAUGGACUGCAUCAGUGUUCGGUCUCCGAAUGUUGACGCGAGAAAUUCUGUGAAUCUUAUUGCUUAGAGGAAGGAGAAGUCGUAACA
rnacentral:rRNA from 1 species